rnacentral:rRNA from 1 species
UAGGGAAUCUUCGGCAAAGGGGGGAACCCUGACCGAGCAACGCCGCGUGAGUGAAGAAGGUUUUCGGAUCGUAAAGCUCUGUUGUUAAGGAAGAACGAGUGUGAGAAUGGAAAGUUCAUGCUGUGACGGUACUUAACCAGAAAGGGACGGCUAACUACGUGCCAGCAGCCGCGGUAAUACGUAGGUCCCGAGCGUUGUCCGGAUUUAUUGGGCGUAAAGCGAGCGCAGGCGGUUAGAAAAGUCUGAAGUGAAAGGCAGUGGCUCAACCAUUGUAGGCUUUGGAAACUGUUUAACUUGAGUGCAGAAGGGGAGAGUGGAAUUCCAUGUGUAGCGGUGAAAUGCGUAGAUAUAUGGAGGAACACCGGUGGCGAAAGCGGCUCUCUGGUCUGUAACUGACGCUGAGGCUCGAAAGCGUGGGGAGCGAACAGG